GGCCCAGUAGUUUCAGUGGAAAAUGUUAAUAGAAAUUUACAAAUUUUAUGAAAAUUGUUAAAAAUUGACUAUAAAGGACAAUAACUCCUUAGGGGGUCAAUUGACCAUUUUGGUCAUGUUUGACUUAUUUGUAAAUCUUACUUUGCUGAACAUUAUUGCUGAUUACAGUUUAUCUCUAUCUAUAAUAAUAUUCAAGGUAAUAACCAAAAACAGCAAAAUUUCCUUAAAAUUACUGAUUCAGGGGCAGCAACCCAACAAUGGGUUGUCCGAUUCAUCUGAAAAUUUCAGGGCAGAUAGAUCUUGACCUGAUAAACAAUUUUACCCGUUGUCAAAUUUGCUCUAAAUGCUUUGGUUUUUGAGUUAUAAGCCAAAAACUGCAUU
rnacentral:lncRNA from 1 species